rfam:Leminorella grimontii ATCC 33999 = DSM 5078 strain ATCC 33999 GLGR.assembly.07, whole genome shotgun sequence.
UUGACAGUGCUCUUUUUUUAACCUAGAGUGAAGACAAAGGGUGAGCGGGGUUUCCCCCGCUCUGGCGCUCUAGUUAGCCGGCAAGCUUAUUACCAGAAGCACCACGAUGAUGACUAACCUCAUCAUGUCCCUUUCCUCUUU